rnacentral:siRNA from 1 species
UGCGCAUGCUACCUCCCGGUCCA